rnacentral:tRNA from 1 species
UGCAAAAUAAGCUAAGUAGACAAGCUAGUGGGCUCAUAACCCGAAUAUGAAUAUAUCAAUUCUUUUGCAG